rnacentral:rRNA from 1 species
GACGAACGCUGGCGGCAGGCCUAACACAUGCAAGUCGAACGGUAACAGGAAACAGCUUGCUGUUUCGCUGACGAGUGGCGGACGGGUGAGUAAUGUCUGGGAAACUGCCUGAUGGAGGGGGAUAACUACUGGAAACGGUAGCUAAUACCGCAUAACGUCGCAAGACCAAAGAGGGGGACCUUCGGGCCUCUUGCCAUCGGAUGUGCCCAGAUGGGAUUAGCUAGUAGGUGGGGGAACGGCUCACCUAGGCGACGAUCCCUAGCUGGUCUGAGGCGGUGACCGGCCACACUGGAACUGAGACACGGUCCAGACUCCUACGGGAGGCAGCAGUGGGGAAUAUUGCACAAUGGGCGCAAGCCUGAUGCAGCCAUGUCGCGUGUAUGAAGAAGGCCUUCGGGUUGUAAAGUACUUUCAGCGGGGAGGAAGGGAGUAAAGUUAAUACCUUUGCUCAUUGACGUUACCCGCAGAAGAAGCACCGGCUAACUCCGUGCCAGCAGCCGCCGUAA